rnacentral:sRNA from 1 species
UUUUGUUUUUAAAAAAAAUGCAAUCAAAGUGUGUAAAGAUGUUGAAUAUUUUUUUUUCACAGAAGUAAUAAUUCAAAUAAUAGAAAUAGUAAAUAAUGUCAAUAGAUUUGUUUUUUGUUUUUUUUUCAGGAUUUACAUCAUUGUUACACAGAAAGAAAACCAAACAAAAACACAAAAAUAAACCAUCUGUAAUGAGAUGAUGUAUCUAUUUACACUAAAGAUAUUCAAAAAUAAAUCUUUUUGUUAUUGGUGGAAGAAACUACUGAGUUGAAGAAACUGGUUCUCAUUUAAUAAAAAUACUCAUUAAUAUUUUUUCCCCUCCAUUUCUAAUCCAAUCAGUUCUUAGAGGAUUCAUUAAAAAACAAAAAAUGAAGACAAAUAGACACAGUAAAACAUGAACUUACUAGCACAUAAAUAUAGAUAUAAAAAUUGAAUAUAGUUGAACCAGGUAGAGAACCCACACUAAAUCUGUAUUAUGUAAUAAAGGGUUGCCCAAAAAUAACAAUAACAAAAAUAAAUAAAUAAGCGUAGGUCUCACACAAGAUUCAACUGAUAAGAUUAUUUCAAAACCAGGGCAGAGCAUUGGCUGAUUAGAGUGUGUUUACAAGUCUUGAAUAAUUAUUCUCUCUUCUAAUUAAAAUGAAAUGGAAUUAAAGAGUUUGAUAAACAAAAUUACACUGAAUAAAGUAAGUAAACAAGACAGCUGUUAUCCUAAUGGUAGCUCAAUCAAAAACAUCAGUUACCAAAAACUACCAAUGCAUACUAAUCAGCAAAAGAAGCAUAGCUUGAAAUAAACAGGGGUUGGCAUACAACUUUUCUAUUUUUCAAUGGGAGAUGACCUUUGACAAUUUAUUGUAGACAAAAUGUAAUGUUCAAUGCUAAGCUUAAGGUAUUCAA